CUAAAGCAGGAUGUGCAUCACUAGUGCCGGAUCCCUUGUAUUCUACGCAUUUUCUAAUAGUUUUUCACCAUGACUGGAUCUUGUGUGGUAAAAAAAGUACUUCGUAUUGGAAGGACUUUGCAAGACGCUUAAGUAUUUUAUUCGUGCCGUCCUAAGAUCUGAUCCCGGCGCUGUCUGGAAGGUUCUAGCCGGUGCGAACGGAUUGACCAGUGAACAGCCGGCUAUCUCAAAAGCAGCGAUCUUUGCUUCUGGUUUAGUCACGCAUUUUAUUCCUGAUGAAAUGCUCAAUCAU